ACUGGAAGAAAGAAGAAUAAUGAAACUAGAGCUUAAUGAACAUGGAAGAGAAUGGAACAAAUCAAGCUGGGGUUGAACAGGGAAGAAAUGAAGGCCCAGAGAGAUGGAGGGAGGUCCUGUUGUGUGACCUUUGAUGGAUGGAGGCCACAGAGAUGAUCCAGGUGACAGCCUCCCUCCACAGAUGAGGACACAGUGACCACGAGGUCCAUGGUUGUAACUCAAACUUAAACCUGGGCAGAGCCCAUGUGAAAGACGGGAAGCAAGCUCUAACUGUGAAUGAAUGGGCUCUGAAAGUGUGUUAAAUGCAGGCUGCAAGGAGAAAUGGGUGGAAAGAGGGUCCUGAUGCUCCAAAGAGAGCUGUGUGGUAAAAA